UAAAUGUGCAAUGUAAUUUAUCUUAUUAAAUUUGGUAUUUUUUUAAAAAAAUUAAAAUAUAUUUUGAAGAAAUAUAUACACAAUUAUUAUCUAUGUCAAAAACUCUAAGUAAAUUUCACGAGUUAAUCGAGUAUGAAUUCAUUUAAAAAAUGAUUAAAAAAGCUAUUCAUUUAAUAAUGUAAAUUAUAAAACCCUAAAAAAAGUCAAGAGUGCUCCCUUGAGUCUCCCAAAGAAACAACGACUACUGUGGUUGGGAAGAAUGCGAGUGGUGACUUGGGGGUAUGGAAGAAGAGAAGGAACUAGCACUCCUUGAAGAAGAAUUGAUCCAGUUAUCGGUAAAGAGUUAGUAAGGCCAUCUGAAAAUCCGACAUUGCUAUGCACUGUUUGGUCAAAGAAAUCUUACAAUCCAGACAGUUUGAGAGCAUAAUUAAAAAGCAUCUGGAAAACAACAAAGAAAUUUGAAAUUCUUCCUGCAGGGCAAAACCUGUUUUCAAUAUCCUUCGAAGACGAGGAAGACUUAGAGCAGAUUAUGGAACGGCACCCAUGGUUUUUUCGAAAACAAUUAUUAAUUUUUGAUCGGAUAACGGAACCAAUGGAGCUGAGCAAAAUCAGAUUGGUUAUUUCUCCGUUUUGGAUGAAAAUUGGACCGUGUCCUCCUGAAUGUGAUAAGAAGGAUUUGAUGCAUGCAGUGGGAUCCACGUUUGGGGAAGUAAUUCAAUCAGAGCCAAAAGGAGAUUUUUGCAGGCUUAGGGUUAACUUAGACGUCUAAAAACCUCUACGAAGAGGUAUUUAUGUAUCUCUGAACAAACAAGGAAAAAUCUGGCUUCCGUUCAAAUACGAGACCCUACCAACGUUUUGCUUCGAAUGUGCUAGGUUAGGACAUGUUGUCAAAAGACUGCAUGAAAGUAUCGCCUGAAGAUCGAGCUAAAACAGAAGAUGAACUACCUUAUUCAAUAGCGCUUACGGCUGAAUCUUCCAUAAUAGGCAAAGAAAGCAUAUGGUACGGAUCCCUAAAAAAGAAAACAAUGAAUCAAUGUUACUAUACAAGCGAGAAAGCAACAGGUAAUGAUGGAAAUUGUUAUACAGACUUAAUGACACAGAAGCACCGAACGAUGACAGAGAAAGAGGCGAAAGGAAUCCCUAUUGUUCAGGAAAUAGGAGAUGAGCGACAAAAUAGUAGGGAUAAUGAAGAUAUUUUAACCCCUCAAAAAAUACCGAUAAUUGUGAAGGACAAGGCAAACAAGAAUCAGAGUGGCAUGGUAGAGAUUCGAAUAGACAAGAUGGGGGUAGAGAAAUUCACCGAAGUGAUAGCAGCUACACAAGUAAAUCAUCACAGAAACAGUUGGCGCCGCUUAGAUAAACAGGAGAAAUUUGAUGUAAUCAUAUCUGAGAUGAUUUGGCGUAAACACAAAUUUAUUCAUGAAAAACAAGUUGAUAUUGACUCAUAUCCCACUAAUGAAAAUAUGAAUAACAGAGUCAAGACAAAUAACGGACGUGUGGAGGGGCAUACAAACAUUGAUGCUGAGCAGGUUGUUUAACAAGAUACUCCAGAAUCGACACAAUAUAUAUCGGCGGCUGCCAAUUGGCAAGCCGACUGGAAUCAAUGAAGAUCCUAAGUUGGAAUGUUCGAGGGUUGGGGAACCCCCGGGCUAUAAGGAGGUUUCAAUACACGUUAAAACUCUACAAACCCCAAUUGGUCUUCAUAAUAGAGACAAAAUUAGAUUGUAUUCGUAUGGAACAGGUUAAGAAAAGAUGUCGUUUUCAGAAUGGGUUGGACAUAUCAGCUUCGGGCACACGUGGUGGGCUAUGUCUUGCAUGGAACGGCAAUUACUUGAUUCAUGUUCGUAGCUAUUCAAAGUACCAUAUCGAUGUUGAUAUUAAAGGAGAGGAUAUUUUAAGUAAAUGGAGGUUUACGAGAUUUUAUAGAAGUCCAAAACAAUCAAAUAAGCAAGAAUCUUGGAACCUUCUUCGAAGGUUAUGAAGUAGAGAAUCAAGGCUAUGGUGUGUGUGUGGAGACUUUAACGAGAUAAUGUAUGCUCACGAAAAGAGAAGAGGAGCUACAAAAGACGAGAGACAGAUGGAGGAAUUUCGGAAGGUCUUAGAUGAAUGUGAAUUGAUUGACAUGAGUUAUACAGGAAAGAAAAAUACAUGGGAGAUGGGUAAUUUUAAGGACACAAAUAUUAGAGAAACACUUGACAGAUGAGUGGCAAAUAAUGAAUGGCUCCAAGUGUUUACUGAUUAUCUGGUACAACAUCUCCCACACUCAUUCUCUGACCAUUGUCUAAUUUUAAUCCAAACGGAGAUAAAUAAUUCACAUGACGGAAGACACCAUUUUAAAUUCGAAUCUUAGUGGCUUCUUGAGCCGACUUGUGCUGAUAUUAUCAAAAAAUUAUGGGAUGAGAAAUCAGGGGAUGCCUUAGAGAAACUGGAAAAUCUUGGAGUUGGUCUACAGAAAUGGAGGCGAAAUAUCAAGGGGGAACACCAUAGAAAAACAAAGAAUCUUCGAAAUCGAUUGGCUGAACUUGAUGGAAUGGAUAGGGAGGACGAUGUAUUAGAACAAAAUUAGGGGUUUGGAAGAUAGUGAUGGGGUUCUCAAAACAGAAAGGGUGGAUAUGGAGUUCAUUAUCAAAGAUUACUUUAUGGGGCUCUUUAAAUCAAAAGGGGUAUGCAACACAAACCACUUUCUUAUGGGUGUUAACAGGUGUAUUAAUGAGGACAUGAAUCAAUUAUUAUUAGCAGAGUAUAAGGAGAAAGAUAUUGUUGAAGCGCUAAACAGCAUUGGGCCAACAGAAACCUCUAGACCUGAUGGUUUUCCAGUUAUUUUUUUCCAGAAAUUCUGGCAUAUUGUGGGAAAAGAGAUUAGUGAUUACUGUUUGAAUUUCCUCAAUAAAGGUAAGUUUUUGAAACCUUUAAAUCAUACAAAUAUAGUAUUAAUUCCAAAAACUGCUCAACCGAAAAACCCUACUCAUUUUAGGCCCAUUAGCCUUUGUUCGAUAUUUUACAAAAUCAUUUCAAAAACCAUUACCAACAGACUUCAAAAAGUACUUGAUUUUUGUAUUGACCCAGCUCUAAGUGCGUUUAUCCCGAGAAGGCUAAUAACAGAUAAUGUCCUCCUAGCCUAUGAAAUUCUACAUACUUUGAGGAACAAAAGGGUAGGGAAAAAAGGCUUACGGCUCUUAAGAUUGAUAUGAGCAAGGUAUACGAUAGGGUGGAGUUGAGGUUUUUGAAACAAAUGAUGCUCAGGAUGGCAUUUGACGAUGAAUGAGUUGCGAAGAUUAUGCAUUAUAUAGACACUGUUUCGUACUCGGUUAUCUUAAAUGGAACUCCAGGAACGGUCUUUACCCCAGAGAGAGGGUUACGACAAGGUGAUCCUCUUAGUCCUUUAUUAUUCCUCAUAUGUAGUGAAGGACUUUCUAUUUUACUUAGAUUAGCAACUGAGGAAGGAAGAAUUAAAGGGAUUAAAGUAAGUAGACGAGGACCUCAGAUCUCUCAUCUUUUAUUCGCAGACGACUGUAUUCUGUUCGGGGAAGCGACUGAGAGGCGAAUAGCGACGAUUGAACAAGUUCUUAAAGAAUAUGAGGAACGCUCUGGUCAAUGCAUCAAUUAUGGAAAAUUGACUGUGUUUUUUAGCUCAAAUACAAGGGAGACAAUUCAGGCUAAUAUUUCAAAUUGGCUGGGAGUUAAUAAAAGGUCCAAUAAUUCGAAAAAUUAUUUAGGCUUGCCAAAUAUGGUAGGUAGGAAAAAACGAAGGGCAUUUCAACAUUUGAAAGAUCGUAUAAAGAUGAAAAUCUAUAGUUGGAAUACCCAUUUUUUGUCACAAGGAGGAAAAGAGAUGUUCAUUAAAGUCGUUUUACAAACAAUUCUAACAUACACAAUGGCAUGCUUUCUAUUACCGUUAUCAAUAUGUAAUGAGAUGGAACAAUUAAUGGCACGGAAUUCAUUGGUGUCCAUGGAACAGAUUAUGUGAAUUAAAAGAUGGGGGUGGACUUGGAUAUCGUAACUUAGGUAAAUUUAAUUUGGCCCUCCUCGCGAAGUAAGGAUGGAGACUAAUUGAUAAUCCUAUAUCCCUUUUAGUAAGAACAUUAAAAGCCAAGUAUCAUCCAAAUUCUAACUUUUUAAGUUCAUAUUUACGAAGCUUACCAUCAUAUACUUGGAAAAGUAUAUGGGCUGCAAAAGGACUUCUGCUUUCAAGACUGCGACGAAGGGUGGGUAACAGGCGUAAUAUCAGCAUUGAAGAAGAUGUCUGGGUUCCAAACGUUGAUUACCUACUGAUAAAAAAACUGUCAAUAGGCAAAAUGUCACAAAGGUUGAAGAUCUUAUCGAUAGUAGGAACAGAACAUGGAGAUCUGAGAUGAUUUCAACUACCUUCUCUGAAGAGGUUGCGCAAAAGAUUAUGCGAAUUCCACUGGCUUAUUUUUCUCAUAAAGACUUUCUAAGCUGGAGGGGCGAGGCAUCUGGAGAAUAUACGGUGCGCAGCGAAUACAAGAUUCUUUUACAAAGAAAUAAAAAUUAUAGGCCAAAUGAGAUUAACAGAUGUUACAAAAAACUCUAGAACAAUGACCUCCAUUCAAAAAUUAAUAUUACAGCUUGGAUAGCUACCCUCAGCUAUCUCCCUACUCUAGUAAACCUAAGAACUAAGUGAUU
rnacentral:lncRNA from 1 species